GUGGGCUACGGAGAUAUGGCUCCGAAGACGUACAUCGGAAUGUUCGUCGGAGCGCUCUGUGCACUGGCCGGUGUCUUGACCAUCGCCCUGCCCGUACCCGUCAUCGUGAGCAAC
rfam:Anopheles atroparvus strain EBRO unplaced genomic scaffold supercont1.1, whole genome shotgun sequence.